GCGAGAACAAGCCGCCCGAACUCAGCCGUUUGUCAUCCGUCACUGAAGUGUAGUGGACACAAGAGGGCGCAAGCACGUGACGGCGGGCAAAGCAAAAACAAAGACGUCACAGAGAUCCCAACUGCGCGGACAGACACCCUGCAAACAACACGUGUCGUGGGUUCGGUGGCACACGUGUACGUUUGGUCGCUUCAAAUUUAAUCCGUUUAUUUUCGCGACUUCGUGUGUCAUAAGAAAUUAGACUUUGAGGAAUCGCUGGCACGCCUACGUGAUGACAUUGAUGGAAAGCGGGCUCAAGAGAGACUCAAGUUUCAGUGAGGCCCCAAGUGACGGCCACUCUGACAGUGAUGUGGAACAAGAACAGUGGAUGGAGAAAACAGCAGAUUUGGGAAGGCCUCAUUGCCAGGUGAAUGUACUGCCAUGGCUGCCUACAUGAACGCUGAGGCUGGCUAGCGUCAUGGUACGAGUGGACUGACCGAUGACAUCUUCGAAGUGAAGAGGCAGGUUACAUCAUAAGUAGCACAGACCUCCUCACAUGAAAGCUGUGGGUAUGCCCGAGGAG